UAGCAUUGAAACACGGGUUCUCGUACGAUCACGGAAGUUAAGCAACGUCGACGCUGGUCACUAACUAGAUGGAUGACUGCCUGGGAAUACCGGGUGCUGUAA
rnacentral:rRNA from 1 species